CUGGUCCAAGUGGAACGCAGCAGGAGUCAUCCAACUCCGAUAUUGUCGACGCCGAUGUUGAUACGCAGCAGAGUUCCGUCCCCGAAGUUCUUGAGGAAGAAGCGACGCAGCAAGUUUGUAGACAACACAUAAUCGUACAUGGCGUUGAGUACAUUCUGCCACCGGAGAGUAUCCCAGAUGAUAAAGCUAUCGAGGUGAUGUACCAAGUAGACUGCUUUGGUCUACAAGUCAAGGUGAUCGAUUUAAUAACGUUUUGGGGCCUAGAGGAAAUACAUGACUCUUUGAAUACGCACAAAAUCUAUGACGUUUCUACGUUGUUAUCGAUUACAAUGUGUGACGUGAAUCAAAUCACUGAAAUCGUUGGACUUCGUGUACGGCUACGGCAUAUGGUUAUGCACAUGCGGAUGAUGCAUGCAUUUCCUUGUCCACCAGAGUCCUUUUCGUCACCCAACGUUCCUUCGGGAGGACAACCUUCGACUUCUCAUCAAACCUCAACAGCAAUGUCAGCAACGAAAAAGCAGCCUAUAGAGAACUUGCAAGAACUCUUGAUGUCGUCGGAGCGCGGUAGAUUAAUCAUCCAAGAAUAUAAUAAGAAUGACAUUCUGUGCGAUGAUACUCGCAACGAUUUGAUCCAAAUAAUUAUUUUGGAGGCACGCGCUCAGCAUCUCGAUGUGAACAACACUCUGUUCAAGAUCAUGGCGGAGAAAAUAGAAAACUUUUCUCGAACGAGAACCGAACACAAUAUUUUACAUCAGCGGUACCCGGCAUCACGCGUGCCGGCGGCAGAUUUGUUGUGCGCAAGCCGAAAAUUUAUGCAAAGUUUAAGUUUAAUCUGAAGCAGCCAUCCACAGAAGUGGAAAAGUCAACAAUUGAGAACAACGGCAAGCAAGAGGAGUCUAAAACAUGGUUGGAACGCGGACGUACACCGUUGGAGAUGGUUAUCGCGCAUUGGGACGCUUGUUUUGACCUAAGACAAUCCCUAAUAAAAUCUGCAAAAUCGCUACAAGCAGUAGUAAAAGAAUUUCCAAUCAUCACGACAGCUCUCGGGGGAAACAUGCUCAUUAGAGAUUUCAAAACAAUGUUUCCCGGUAAACUCGAGAUUUACUUCAACAGCGUUGUUAAAGUGCACGAUAACCUGCACAACAUGUUCGGUCGCCUAAGUUGUGAAGAUCACUUGAAGUUGGCAGCAACGUAUGCCACUGCUACGGAUAUUAGCGAAAAGAACCUGAUAUUUGCCAAGCUGCUUACAACCCUUAUCCCAUCCCGUGGCAAGAUAACUAAAUCUUGGAAGCCAUCCCUGGUCGAAUCGCAAGAGGGGUUCAUCCUUUUUUGCACAGACGUCCGCUGCUGUUCAGGAAGUCAUUAAUGCGAGAAAAGAACGAUUGCAUGGACAUAACAUCGCCUCACGCAAAUUUCAUCUGCAGCCCACCGUCAUGGUUAUUGGUCCGGAGAGCAAACCAAGAUUUACCGUCGUAUUUGACAAUAUUAUCUAUCAGUAUAAAACGCUGAUCGAUGCGAUAGCUGGUGUAAUUACUACUACAUAUGUUCUGGACCUGGAGUACAACGCCGACGCAAUCCCAGCCUGGACAUUUAUUCAGGAAUACCUAUUUAGAAUAAACCCAAAAAAGAAAAUUCAGGCUGUAGACGAGGCGGCCCGGAUACUGGUGAACUGGACGUAAUCCGGUUUUAAUUUUACUGU